GAUGAAGAACGCAGCGAAAUGCGAUACGUAAUGUGAAUUGCAGAAUUCCGUGAAUCAUCGAAUCUUUGAACGCACAUUGCGCCCCCUGGUAUUCCGGGGGGCAUGCCUGUCCGAGCGUCAUUGCUGCCCUCAAGCACGGCUUGUGUGUUGGGCCUCCGUCCUCCUCCCGGGGGACGGGCCCGAAAGGCAGCGGCGGCACCGCGUCCGGUCCUCGAGCGUAUGGGGCUUCGUCACCCGCUCUUGUAGGCCCGGCCGGCGCUUGCCGACACAUCAAUCUUUUUUCCAGGUUGACCUCGGAUCAGGUAGGGAUACCCGCUGAACUUAAGCAUAUCAAAAGCGGAGGA
rnacentral:misc_RNA from 1 species